UGUAAGCGUAUACCAAAGUUGUUGCAGUUAAAACGCUCGUAGUCGGAAUUUGGCAGUUCCGGAUGUGUGCACGUCGUGUGCGCACUUCGCGGGGAUUGCUUUUGUGGUCUUGCGUAGGAUGAGGCACUUUUAUUAGUGAACGUCCUCACGCAACCACUUUUUACUGUGAGAAAAUCAGAGUGCUCAAAGCAGGCAUUUGCCGUGAAUGUAUUAGCAUGGAAUAAUAGAAUAGGACUUGGUUCUAUUUUGUUGGUUUGUUGGGACUGAGUAAUGAUUAAGAGGGACAGUUGGGGGCAUUUGUAUUUCGGUGCUAGAGGUGAAAUUCUUAGAUUACCGAAAGACAAACUGCUGCGAAAGCGUCUGCCAAGGUUGUUUUCAUUGA
rnacentral:rRNA from 1 species